AACGAACGCUAGCGGCAUGCCUAACACAUGCAAGUCGAACGAACCCUUCGGGGUUAGUGGCGCACGGGUGCGUAACGCGUGGGAAUCUGCCCAAAGGUUCGGAAUAACACAGAGAAAUCUGUGCUAAUACCGGAUAAUGUCUUCGGACCAAAGAUUUAUUGCCUUUGGAUGAGCCCGCGUUGGAUUAGCUUGUUGGUGAGGUAACGGCUCACCAAGGCGACGAUCUAUAGCUGGUCUGAGAGGAUGAUCAGCCACACUGGGACUGAGACACGGCCCAGACUCCUACGGGAGGCAGCAGUGGGGAAUAUUGGACAAUGGGGGAAACCCUGAUCCAGCAAUGCCGCGUGCGUGAAGAAGGCCUUAGGGUUGUAAAGCGCUUUCACCUGUGAUGAUGAUGACAGUAGCAGGAGAAGAAGCCCCGGCUAACUCCGUG
rnacentral:rRNA from 1 species